rnacentral:misc_RNA from 1 species
GUUUAUGUUCUCCCAUUUCUCUUUACAUCUCUUCGCGUUUCUAUCGUAUCCAAGCUUCUUCAUACCACAUGAGAUGUCUUCCCAAAGAGGCCCUUUUGAUGAGCCGUUGUCUUGGUAUUGCAAGUCGACGUUUGUUCUUAGCUUGAUUAAGGCUUCCACUUCGGCUUUAGGCCAUCGAGAAGAUGAAUUCGUUUGAAACGAGUUUGAAUUCUCACCAGCACUAUCAAUCUCUUGUUUGUCAAUGUUUUCCUUGUCGUUGUCUUGUUGCAUAACAACAUUCUCCUGAUUUCCAAUAGUUUUCAUUGAUUCACUCUCUCGUUCCUCGGUAUGCCUAUGGGGUAAAUCUGUUGGUAACUGUAGUUGAAUGGUUUGAUCUGAGACUUUCUGCAAGAAAGCAAUCACUGCUGCGUCUUUCGCGGCAGAAAUUGCUCUUUCGUGAGCUAAUGCUUCUUGUUCUUUCUUUAAUCUCGCGAUUUCCUGCAUCUUCCAAGCCUCGUCCCUCGCUAUUCGAUCCUUCUCACAUUUUUCCAUUGCUUCUAGAAACUUGUUUUGCAAGUCCUCUUGCUUAUCCAACACUUCCUUCAUCAACCUCUCAAA